GAAAUGCGAUAAGUAAUGUGAAUUGCAGAAUUCCGUGAAUCAUCGAAUCUUUGAACGCACAUUGCGCCCUCUGGCAUUCCGGGGGGCAUGCCUGUCCGAGCGUCAUUACGCACCCUCAAGCUCUGCUUGGUAUUGGGCUGUCGCGGGGGGGCUCUCUCCCUGCGGGCCUCAAAGCUAUCGGCGGUGGUGCCCUGCUUCAAGCGUAGUAAAGUUUAUUCUUUCGCUUUGGAGGCUAGGGCUCCACCCGCCGGACAAACCGGGCCCUCGCGCCCAUCUUUCCAAGGUUGACCUCGAAUCAGGUAGGGAUACCCGCUGAACUUAAGC
rnacentral:misc_RNA from 1 species